rnacentral:tRNA from 1 species
GGGGUUGUGGCUCAGAGGUAGAGUGCUCGCCUGACAUGCGUGAGCCACUGGGUUCGAUCCUCAGCACUGCG